GCACUAGUGGUCUAGUGGUAGAGUAGUACCCUGCCAUGGUACAGACCCGGGUUCGAUUCCGUCUGGUGCA
rnacentral:tRNA from 1 species